rnacentral:rRNA from 1 species
AACCGAGGGUAACCCUGGGAACGAGGGUUUACCCGUUAAACCGAAAAACCCCCGUGUUUUCUUUUAAAAAAGGGCUUCGCUUCCUUUUCNGGAAUGGCCCCGGGGCCAUUAGCUAGUUUGUGAGGUAACGGCUUCCCCAAGGCCGAUGAUCGGUACCCGACCUUGAAAGGGUAAUCGGCCACAUUGGGACUGAGACCCGGCCCCAGACUCCUACGGGAAGCAGCAGUAGGGAAUCUUCCCACAAUUGGGCGCAAGUCUGAUGGAGCAACCCCGCGUGAGUGAAGAAGGGUUUCGGCUCGUAAAGCUCUGUUGUUAAAGAAGAACGUGGGUGAGAGUAACUGUUCACCCAGUGACGGUAUUUAACCAGAAAGCCACGGCUAACUACGUGCCAGCAGCCGCGGUAAUACGUAGGUGGCAAGCGUUAUCCGGAUUUAUUGGGCGUAAAGCGAGCGCAGGCGGUCUUUUAAGUCUAAUGUGAAAGCCUUCGGCUCAACCGAAGAAGUGCAUUGGAAACUGGGAGACUUGAGUGCAGAAGAGGACAGUGGAACUCCAUGUGUAGCGGUGAAAUGCGUAGAUAUAUGGAAGAACACCAGUGGCGAAGGCGGCUGUCUGGUCUGUAACUGACGCUGAGGCUCGAAAGCAUGGGUAGCGAACAGGAUUAGAUACCCUGGUAGUCCAUGCCGUAAACGAUGAUUACUAAGUGUUGGAGGGUUUCCGCCCUUCAGUGCUGCAGCUAACGCAUUAAGUAAUCCGCCUGGGGAGUACGACCGCAAGGUUGAAACUCAAAAGAAUUGACGGGGGCCCGCACAAGCGGUGGAGCAUGUGGUUUAAUUCGAAGCUACGCGAAGAACCUUACCAGGUCUUGACAUCUUCUGCCAACCUAAGAGAUUAGGCGUUCCCUUCGGGGACAGAAUGACAGGUGGUGCAUGGUUGUCGUCAGCUCGUGUCGUGAGAUGUUGGGUUAAGUCCCGCAACGAGCGCAACCCUUAUUACUAGUUGCCAGCAUUCAGUUGGGCACUCUAGUGAGACUGCCGGUGACAAACCGGAGGAAGGUGGGGACGACGUCAAAUCAUCAUGCCCCUUAUGACCUGGGCUACACACGUGCUACAAUGGAUGGUACAACGAGUCGCGAAACCGCGAGGUUUAGCUAAUCUCUUAAAACCAUUCUCAGUUCGGACUGUAGGCUGCAACUCGCCUACACGAAGUCGGAAUCGCUAGUAAUCGCGGAUCAGCAUGCCGCGGUGAAUACGUUCCCGGGCCUUGUACACACCGCCCGUCACACCAUGAGAGUUUGUAACACCCAAAGCCGGUGGGGUAACCUUUAGAGCUAGCCGUCUAAG